rnacentral:tRNA from 1 species
GCCUGGGUGGCUCAGUUGGUGAAGCACCUGCCUUCAGCUCAGGUCAUGAUCCCAGGACCCUGGGAUAGAGUCCCACUCGGGCU